GACGAACGCUGGCGGCGUGCUUAACACAUGCAAGUCGAACGGAAAGGCCCUACUUUUGUUGGCUGCACGAUUGGCGAACGGGUGAGUAACACGUGAGUAACCUGCCCUUGACUUUGGGAUAACUUCAGGAAACUAGGGCUAAUACCGGAUAGGAGCUCCUGCUGCUUGUUGUGGGUUGGAAAGUUUCGGCGGUUGGGGAUGGACUCGCGGCUUAUCAGCUUGUUGGUGGGGUAGUGGCUUACCAAGGCUUUGACGGAUAGCCGGACUGAGAGGGUGACCGGCCACAGUGGGACUGAGAUGCGGCCCAGACUCCUACGGGAGGCAGCAGUGGGGAAUAUUGCACAAUGGGCGGAAGCCGGAUGCAGCAACGCCGCGUGCGGGAUGACGGCCUUCGGGUUGUAAACCGUUUUCGCCUGUGACGAAGCGUGAGUGACGGUAAUGGGUAAAGAAGCAACGGCUAACUACGUG
rnacentral:rRNA from 1 species